GUCGAUCCACCAGCAACCAAUUGCAUCAUGUGAUAUCGGAACGUCGACGUCGAGUGAAGCUCAAUGACAGCUUUGAUACACUCAGUACGCUGCUUCCUCCUGCAUCAAAGGUAUGCAUAACAGUGUCAAUGCAUCAUUUUUAGGAUCCGAAACAAGAUAAUGUUAAUCCUGUGGAUUUCAUCUCCUUUCUCUGUCUUGCUUUAUGAUAGAAAGACAAGGCUUCGGUGCUGAUCAAUACAAGGAACUACCUGAACACAUUGAGAACUCAAAUCACGGAGCUGGAGGAGAAGAACCGAAGUCUGGAGACGCAUCUUUGUACAGAUGAAGCUCGUCAAGGCGAUGGCUCCG
rnacentral:lncRNA from 1 species